ensembl:snRNA U6 U6 spliceosomal RNA
GUGCUCAAUUCAAUAGCAUAUAUAUUAAAAUUGGGACAAUACAAAGAUUAGCAUGGCCCCUGUGCAAAAAAACGAAACCAAACCAAAACAAAAACCCAUGUCUUCU